rnacentral:rRNA from 1 species
GAGUUUGAUCUUGGCUCAGAAUAAACGCUGGCGGCGUGCCUAACACAUGCAAGUCGAGCGAGAAAGUUCCUUCGGGAACUAGUAAAGCGGCGAACGGUUGAGUAACACGUGAGAAUCUACCCUUCAGUGAGGAAUACCACCGAGAAAUCGGUGUUAAUACUGCAUACGUCCCUUCGGGGAGAAAGGUGGCUUUAAUGCUGCCGCUGAUGGAUGAGCUUGCGAGCUAUCAGUUAGUUGGUGAGGUAAUGGCUCACCAAGGCUAUGACGGCUAUCCGGCCUGAGAGGGUGUACGGACAGACUGGGACUUAGACACGGCCCAGACUCCUACGGGAGGCAGCAGUGGGGAAUAUUGCGCAAUGGGCGAAAGCCUGACGCAGCGACGCCGCGUGAAGGAUGAAGGUCUUCGGAUUGUAAACUUCUGUUAAGUGGGAAGAAAGAUGCAUUUUUAAUAGAAAUGUGUGAUGACGGUACCAUUAGAGAAAGCACCGGCCAACCUCGUGCCAGCCGCCGCA